rnacentral:rRNA from 1 species
GAUGAACGCUAGCGGCAGGCUUAACACAUGCAAGUCGAGGGGCAGCGCGGGAUAGCAAUAUCCUGGCGGCGACCGGCGGAAGGGUGCGUAACGCGUGAGCGACAUGCCCGUUGCCCGGGGACAACCGGUGGAAACGCCGACUAAUCCCCGAUGGGAUAUUGUGCCGCAUGGCACGAUAUUGAAAGUUACGGCGGCGACGGAUUGGCUCGCGUCCGAUUAGCUUGUUGGCGGGGUAACGGCCCACCCAGGCUGCGAUCGGUAGGGGUUCUGAGAGGAAGGCCCCCCACAAUGGGACUGAGACACGGCCCAUACUCCUACGGGAGGCAGCAGUGAGGAAUAUUGGUCAAUGGGCGGAAGCCUGAACCAGCCAUGUCGCGUGCGGGAAGGAGGCCCUAUGGGCUGUGAACCGCUUUUGCCUGGGGGCAAUAAGGGCGUCGCGCACGUCCGAUGAGAGUACCAGGCGAAUAAGCAUCGGCUAACUCCGUG